rnacentral:rRNA from 1 species
GACGAACGCUGGCGGCGUGCUUAACACAUGCAAGUCGAACGGUGAAGCGCCUUCCUUUUUGGUGGGUGUGGAUGAGUGGCGAACGGGUGAGUAACACGUGAGUAACCUGCCCCCUUCUUCUGGAUAACCGCAUGAAAGUGUGGCUAAUACGGGAUAUUCUGGGUCUGUCGCAUGAUGGGUCUGGGAAAGAUAUUGUUUCGGUGGGGGAUGGGCUCGCGGCCUAUCAGCUUGUUGGUGGGGUGAUGGCCUACCAAGGCGGUGACGGGUAGCCGGCCUGAGAGGGUGGGCCGGCACACUGGGGCCGGGAACCGGCCCAGGACCCUACGGGGGGGCGGAGGGGGGAAUUAGGGAACAUUGGGGGAAGGCGGAUGGCAGGGCCGCGCGUGAGGGGAGGGGGGCCUGCGGGUGGUAACCUCCUUUGCCAGUUGAACAAGGCUGGCUUGUUUUUUGGGGGGGUUACGGUAGCUGGAUAAGAAGCGCCGGCUAACUACGUGC